GACGAACGCUGGCGGCGUGCCUAAUACAUGCAAGUAGAACGCCGUUGCGAACGGGUGAGUAACGCGUCGGUAACCGCCCCAUAGCGGGGGAUAACUAUUGGAAACGAUAGCUAAUACCGAAUACUGUGGGAUGGACCUGCGUUGUAUUAGAGAGUUGGAGAGGUAAAGGCUCACCAAGGUGACGAUACAUAGCCGACCUGAGAGGGGGUACGGCCACACUGGGAAUGAGAAACUGCUCAGUCUCCUACGGGAUGCAGGCGUAGGGAAUCUUCGUCAAUUGACGGAAGUCUGACCGAGCAACGCCGCGUGCGGGAAGAAGGUUCUCGGAUCUUAAAGGUCUUUUGUUAGAGAAGCGUUAACUAACCAGAAAGGGACGGCUAACUACGUGCCAGCAGCCGCGGUAAUUC
rnacentral:rRNA from 1 species